UGGAGCCCUUCAGUUCGGCUGGACCGGAGACAGGUGCUGCAUGGCUGUCGUCAGCUCGUGUCGUGAGAUGUUGGGUUAAGUCCCGCAACGAGCGCAACCCUCGCCUUAGUUGCCAUCAUUUAGUUGGGCACUCUAAGGGGACUGCCGGUGAUAAGCCGCGAGGAAGGUGGGGAUGACGUCAAGUCCUCAUGGCCCUUACAGGCUGGGCUACACACGUGCUACAAUGGCGGUGACAAUGGGAUGCAAUGGGGAGACCCUGCGCAAAUCUCAAAAAGCCGUCUCAGUUCGGAUUGUGCUCUGCAACUCGAGCACAUGAAGUUGGAAUCGCUAGUAAUCGCAGAUCAGCACGCUGCGGUGAAUACGUUCCCGGGCCUUGUACACACCGCCCGUCACACCAUGGGAGUUGGCUUUACCUGAAGACGGUGCGCUAACCGCAAGGGAGCAGCCGGCCACGGUAGGGUCAGCGACUGGGGUGAAGUCGUAACAAGGUAAGCGUAGUGCU
rnacentral:rRNA from 1 species